rfam:Lactobacillus oris PB013-T2-3 contig00100, whole genome shotgun sequence.
GCGGAUGUGGCGGAAUUGGCAGACGCGCAAGAUUUAGGAUCUUGUAUCUUUUGAUGUAAGGGUUCAAGUCCCUUCAUCCGCA